AUGAAACAUUUGUGGUUCUUUCUCUUUCUGGUGGCAGCUCCCAGAUGUGUCCUGUCCCAGGUGCAGCUGAAAGAGUCUGGACCUGUUCUUCUGAAGCCCUCACAGACCCUGUCCCAAACCUGCUCUUUCUCUGGAUUUUCCAUCACAACCAGUGGUUAUUGCUGGAAUUGGAUCUGCCAGGCCCAGGUGAAGGGGCUGCAGUUGUUGUCAAUUAUAUGCUAUGAGAGUAGCAUGAAUUACACCCCAUCCCUCAAGAGCCAACUCUCCACCACAAGAGACACAUCUAAGAAUCAAUUCUCUGUUCAGCUGAGCCAGGUGGUUUCUGACGACACAGCUGUGUAUUACUGUGCAAGAGUUCUUACUGCCACGUAG